UCGUAGUUUGUCCACGCUCAGUGCUGGA
rnacentral:sRNA from 1 species